GAUGAACGCUAGCGGCAGGCUUAAUACAUGCAAGUCGAGGGGUAGCAAGAUUGUAGCAAUACAAUUGUUGACGACCGGCAAACGGGUGCGGAACACGUACACAACCUUCCUAUAAGUGGGGAAUAGCCCAGAGAAAUUUGGAUUAAUACCCCGUAACAUAGCGAUGUGGCAUCACAUUGCUAUUAUAGCUUCGGCGCUUGUUGAUGGGUGUGCGGCUGAUUAGAUAGUUGGCGGGGUAACGGCCCACCAAGUCUACGAUCAGCAGCUGAUGUGAGAGCAUGAUCAGCCACACGGGCACUGGGACACGGGCCCGACGCCUACGGGAGGCAGCAGUAAGGAAUAUUGGACAAUGGACGCAAGUCUGAUCCAGCCAUGCCGCGUGAAGGAUUAAGGUCCUCUGGAUUGUAAACUUCUUUUAUAAGGGACGAAAAAAGGUCUUUCUAGAUCGUCUGACGGUACCUUAUGAAUAAGCGCCGGCUAACUCCGUGCCAGCAGCCGCCGUAAGAC
rnacentral:rRNA from 1 species